GAUGAACGCUGGCGGCGUGCCUAAUACAUGCAAGUCGAACGAACAGACGAGGAGCUCGCUCCCCUGCCGUUAGCGGCGGACGGGUGAGUAACACGUGCAUAACCUACCUAUAAGACUGGGAUAACUACGGGAAACCGGAUCUAAUACCGGACCAUAUACUGAACCGCAUGGUUCAACAGAGCAAGACGGUUUGGAUGUCACUGAUAGAUGGUGCCAAGCCGGAUUAGCUAGUUGGUAAGGUAACGGCCUACCAAGGCUACGAUCCGGAGCUGACCUGAGAGGGUGAUCGGCCACACUGGAACUGAGACACGGUCCAGACUCCUACGGGAGGCAGCAGUGGGGAAUCUUCGACAAUGGGCGCAAGCCUGAUCCAGCCACGCCGCGUGAGUGAUGAAGGUCUUCGGAUCGUAAAGCUCUGUUGUUGGGAAAGAACAGAAGUGUGAGAAUCCAUCGACGUUAUGACGGUACCUAAAGAAAAAGCACCGGCUAACUACGUG
rnacentral:rRNA from 1 species